AUACGGGGGGUGCAAGCGUUAAUCGGAAUUUCUGGGCGUAAAGCGCGCGUAGGCGGUUUGCUCAGUCGGAUGUGAAAGCCCAGGGCUCAACCUUGGAACUGCAUACGAUACUGGCAAACUAGAGUGUGAGAGAGGAUAGUGGAAUUUCCGGUGUAGCGGUGAAAUGCGUAGAUAUCGGAAGGAACAUCAGUGGCGAAGGCGACUGUCUGGCUCAACACUGACGCUGAGGUGCGAAAGCGUGGGUAGCAAACAGGAUUAGAAACCCUAGUAGUCC
rnacentral:rRNA from 1 species